UAGUGGCGAACGGGUGAGUAACACGUGAGUAACCUGCCCUUAACUCUGGGAUAAGCCUGGGAAACUGGGUCUAAUACCGGAUAUGACUCCUCAUCGCAUGGUGGGGGGUGGAAAGCUUUUUGUGGUUUUGGAUGGACUCGCGGCCUAUCAGCUUGUUGGUGAGGUAAUGGCUCACCAAGGCGACGACGGGUAGCCGGCCUGAGAGGGUGACCGGCCACACUGGGACUGAGACACGGCCCAGACUCCUACGGGAGGCAGCAGUGGGGAAUAUUGCACAAUGGGCGAAAGCCUGAUGCAGCGACGCCGCGUGAGGGAUGACGGCCUUCGGGUUGUAAACCUCUUUCAGUAGGGAAGAAGCGAAAGUGACGGUACCUGCAGAAGAAGCGCCGGCUAACUACGUGCCAGCAGCCGCGGUAAUACGUAGGGCGCAAGCGUUAUCCGGAAUUAUUGGGCGUAAAGAGCUCGUAGGCGGUUUGUCGCGUCUGCUGUGAAAGACCGGGGCUCAACUCCGGUUCUGCAGUGGGUACGGGCAGACUAGAGUGAUGUAGGGGAGACUGGAAUUCCUGGUGUAGCGGUGAAAUGCGCAGAUAUCAGGAGGAACACCGAUGGCGAAGGCAGGUCUCUGGGCAUUAACUGACGCUGAGGAGCGAAAGCAUGGGGAGCGAACAGGAUUAGAUACCCUGGUAGUCCAUGCCGUAAACGUUGGGCACUAGGUGUGGGGGACAUUCCACGUUUUCCGCGCCGUAGCUAACGCAUUAAGUGCCCCGCCUGGGGAGUACGGCCGCAAGGCUAAAACUCAAAGGAAUUGACGGGGGCCCGCACAAGCGGCGGAGCAUGCGGAUUAAUUCGAUGCAACGCGAAGAACCUUACCAAGGCUUGACAUGGACCGGAUCGCUGCAGAAAUGUGGUUUCCCCUUUGGGGUCGGUUCACAGGUGGUGCAUGGUUGUCGUCAGCUCGUGUCGUGAGAUGUUGGGUUAAGUCCCGCAACGAGCGCAACCCUCGUUCUAUGUUGCCAGCACGUGAUGGUGGGGACUCAUAGGAGACUGCCGGGGUCAACUCGGAGGAAGGUGGGGACGACGUCAAAUCAUCAUGCCCCUUAUGUCUUGGGCUUCACGCAUGCUACAAUGGCCGGUACAAAGGGUUGCGAUACUGUGAGGUGGAGCUAAUCCCAAAAAGCCGGUCUCAGUUCGGAUUGGGGUCUGCAACUCGACCCCAUGAAGUCGGAGUCGCUAGUAAUCGCAGAUCAGCAACGCUGCGGUGAAUACGUUCCCGGGCCUUGUACACACCGCCCGUCAAGUCACGAAAGUUGGUAACAC
rnacentral:rRNA from 1 species